AUGGCCACCGUCUCCUUCUCAUCCCCGGCGUCCUUCGCCGGCGACAACAGCGGUGCCCUUACCUCCGCCACCAUCCUCCGUUUCCCGCCCAACUUCGUCCGCCAGCUCAGCACCAAGGCCCGCCGCAACUGUAGCAACAUAGGCGUCGCGCAGAUCGUCGCCGCCGCUUGGUCCGAUCGCCGAGCCGUCACCUCCCACUCCGGCGGCGGAAGCAGCGUCCGCGGCACCUCCUCCCAUGCCGCGGCCGCAUCCGCCGCCACCUCUGCGGCGGCGGCUGCCGAGGUUGGCGCCAUUCCUAACGCCAAGCUCGCGCAGCCGUCCGCCGCCGCAUUGGCCGAGCGUGCCCUGCUCGGUUCGGAUGCUAGCCUCGCCGUCCACGCAGGCGAGAGGCUUGGGAGAAGGAUCGCCACAGACGCGAUCACCACGCCAGUAGUGAACACCUCCGCCUACUGGUUCAGUAGCUCGCAGGAGCUGAUCGAUUUCAAGGAGGGGAGGCAUGCUAGCUUCGAAUACGGGAGGUAUGGGAACCCGACCACUGAGGCUUUGGAGAAGAAGAUGAGUGCACUGGAGAAAGCCGAGUCCACUGUCUUUGUGGCGUCAGGGAUGUAUGCAAGCGUCGCUAUGCUCAGCACACUUGUCCCAGCAGGUGGGCACAUUGUUACAACCACAGAUUUGUACCGCAAGACAAGAAUUUACAUGGAGACUGAGCUCCCCAAGAGGGGAAUUACGAUGACUGUUAUUAGACCUGCUGACAUGGAUGCUCUUCAAGAUGCACUUGAUAAUAAUAAUGUAUCUUUAUUCUUCACUGAGACUCCUACUAAUCCAUUUCUCAGAUGCAUUGAUAUUGAGCUUGUCUCCAAUAUGUGCCAUAACAAGGGAGCAUUGCUAUGCAUUGAUAGCACCUUUGCCUCCCCUAUCAAUCAGAAAGCACUGACUUUAGGUGCUGACAUAGUUGUUCAUUCUGCAACGAAGUAUAUUGCUGGGCACAAUGAUGUUAUUGGAGGCUGUAUCAGUGGCAGGGACGAGCUAGUCUCCAAGGUCCGCAUUUAUCACCAUGUAGUUGGUGGUGUUCUAAACCCGAAUGCUUCCUAUCUGAUCCUCCGGGGCAUGAAAACACUACAUCUCCGUGUUCAGUGCCAGAAUAGUACUGCUCUGCGGAUGGCCCAGUUUUUAGAGGAACAUCCAAAGAUUGCACGUGUAUACUAUCCUGGCUUGCCAAGUCACCCUGAACAUCACAUUGCCAAGAGCCAAAUGACUGGCUUUGGUGGUGUUGUCAGCUUUGAGGUUGAUGGGGACUUCGACUCUACUAGAAAAUUCAUUGAUUCUGUCAAGAUACCCUACCAUGCCCCUUCAUUUGGGGGUUGUGAGAGCAUAAUUGAUCAGCCUGCCAUCAUGUCCUACUGGGAUUCGAAGGAGCAGAGAGACAUUUAUGGAAUCAAGGACAACCUGAUCAGGUUCAGCAUCGGAGUCGAGGAUUUUGAGGACUUGAAGAAUGACAUUGUUCAGGCCCUCAACAAGAUCUAA
rnacentral:rRNA from 1 species